rnacentral:rRNA from 1 species
CCCUUAGAUGUUCUGGGCUGCACGCGCGCUACACUGAAGCGUUCAACGAGUAUUCACCUUGCCCGGGAGGGUUGGGUAAUCUUUUGAAAACGCUUCGUGAUGGGGAUAGAUUAUUGCAAUUAUUAAUCUUCAACGAGGAAUUCCUAGUAAGCGCGAGUCAUCAGCUCGUGCUGAUUACGUCCCUGCCCUUUGUACACACCGCCCGUCGCUCCUACCGAUUGGAUGGUCCGGUGAGCUAUUUGGACCGCUGACUCUUCAGUUCUCUGAGUUGACAGUGGAAAAUCUCGCAAACCUUAUCAUCUAGAGGAAGGAGAAGUCGUAACA